rnacentral:rRNA from 1 species
AUACGGAGGAUCCGAGCGUUAUCCGGAUUUAUUGGGUUUAAAGGGUGCGCAGGCGGCCAUUUAAGUCAGCGGUUAAAUCGUGGGGCUCAACCCCAUUCUGCCGUUGAUACUGGGUGGCUUGAUUGCGGUCGAGGUUGGCGGAAUUCGUUGUGUAGCGGUGAAAUGCAUAGAUAUGACGAAGAACACCGAUUGCGUAGGCAGCUGACCAGAACGCAAAUGACGCUCAUGCACGAAAGUGCGGGGAUCGAACAGGAUUAGAUACCCUGGUAGUCCGCACAGUAAACGAUGAAUACUUGUUUUCGGCGAUAUAAUGUCGGAGGCAAAGCGAAAGCGAUAAGUAUUCCACCUGGGGAGUACGCCGGCAACGGUGAAACUCAAAUGAAUUGACGGGG